UGUCUAAUUUUAAAACCAACACAAUGUGUGUGUGUGUGUGUGUGUGUGUGUGUGUGUGAUGGAACAUGCAACACUCACUCUAUAUGCAU
rnacentral:miRNA from 1 species